rnacentral:rRNA from 1 species
GACGAACGCUGGCGGCGUGCCUAAUACAUGCAAGUAGAACGCUGAAGGAGGAGCUUGCUCUUCUGGAUGAGUUGCGAACGGGUGAGUAACGCGUAGGUAACCUGCCUGGUAGCGGGGGAUAACUAUUGGAAACGAUAGCUAAUACCGCAUAACAGUAGAUGUUGCAUGACAUUUACUUAAAAGGUGCACUUGCAUCACUACCAGAUGGACCUGCGUUGUAUUAGCUAGUUGGUGGGGUAACGGCUCACCAAGGCGACGAUACAUAGCCGACCUGAGAGGGUGAUCAGCCACACUGGGACUGAGACACGGCCCAGACUCCUUCGGGAGGCAGCAGUAGGGAAACUUCGGCGAUGGGCGGAAGUCUGAACGAGCAACGCCGCGUGAGUGAAGAAAGUUUUCGGAUCGUAAAGCUCUGUUGUAAGAGAAGGACGAGUGUGAGCGUGGAAAGUUCACGCUGUGACGGUAUCUUACCAGAAAGGGACGGCUAACUACGUG